rnacentral:rRNA from 1 species
GACGAACCGUGCGAACGUUGUUCGGAAUCACUGGGCUUAAAGGGCGCGUAGGCGGGCCUACAAGUCAGGGGUGAAAGCCCACGGCUUAACCGUGGAAGAGCCUUUGAUACUGUGGGUCUCGAGGGAGGUAGGGGCGUGCGGAACUUCCGGUGGAGCGGUGAAAUGCGUAGAUAUCGGAAGGAACAUCGGUGGCGAAAGCGGCGCGCUGGACCUCUUCUGACGCUGAGGCGCGAAAGCCAGGGGAGCAAACGGG